AGACGCUUCAAUAUUGAUACAGCAAUAUUGUAGAAGGUAGUUUCUCAGCUUGUUUUCAUGCACUAAUCUCUGUGGCUGCCAUACCAUAACAGUGUAGACAGCUAUCUUUCUACAGUAAGCUUCCCGUUUAUUAUUGUGCUAGGGUACAUAAUAAACCCACAGUUAGUCUCAUUUUCAUUAACAGGUUUUAGUUAUCACACACUUCUUUUAGGAAUAGAACUUCUCUUUCAAAAUAGUUAGAUUUAACAGAAAAAUUCCAGAGUUCGCAUUUAAUAUAUAUACCUAAAAUGAAAAUAUUCUUCCACUCAAAUGUUACCUUAAUCUUGUCAGUUGACACCAGGUGCUCCACUUUUGCAGAAGACCAAAUUUAGAGCCUUGGUUGUCAUUUGAUUGCAAAAAUAUUUGAAUUUCUUCAAUCGGAAAAUGAAUUUAAUUAAGUUCAAAUCUUAUAAACUUCUCAAGCUAAAGAACAAGUAGAUGGCACAUUUAGGUACUAGGUGCAUGAAAUAAUUAUUUCUCAUCAGCAGAGGCCAAGGUUGUUAAAAUCGGGAUUUUAAGUAGGAUCGAUAAAGGGUCCAUAAAAUCGGAUCGUAAAAUCGAAUCUUAAAAUCGUAAGAUUUUAGAGAUAAUUAAAAAUACCCUUUAAUUUUUGUAAAUAUAUGUUUAUAAUAAUAUAAUUUUAUAAAAAAUGAAUUAAUAUUAUUUAAUAACUUGAUUAUUCCUUAUUAUAAUUCAAAAAAUGAUACUUCCUAAAUAUAGCUCAAAAACUAGCAGGUUGGUAUAGGCAAUUUAGAGGCAAAAUAUAGGUAAUUUAGAGGUAAAAUAUAGCUUAAAAUUCUUUAGAGGAUGCUUCCAAUGUCUUCCAUUAAAUUUAGAUUGUAAUUUUUUCUUGAUUUAACAUUGAUUAAAUCAAGUAAUAUCCCAAUUUGGGGUUGGGUGGUCCAUUAAUUAAUUACUUGUUUGUCUUGAUUUACUUAUGCAAUCAAUGUUAAAUCAAGUAAAAAUUAUAAUUUAAAUCAAGUAAAUUGGAACUUAUGCAAUUAAUGUUAGAUGCUAUGUGACAUUGGAAUUUAUGUAAUCAAUGUUAAAUCAAGUUCCAAUUUAGAGGCAAAAUAUAACAAUUCAUUGGAUAAGUUCUAAUGUCAGAUGCUAUGUGACAUUGAGACGUUGGAAGUAUCCUCUAAAUUACAACUUAAAUCAAUAGAGGUCUUUGAAUCGUAAAAUCGUUCGGGGAUCUCUGAAGCGUAAAAUCGUAAAAUCGUACAUGUAAAAUCGAAAUUUUAUAGGAUUUUAUCUCAAAUUGGAUUUUACAUGGGAUUUGAAUCGUUUGGGGGUCUUCGAAUCGUAAAAUCGUAUGCUUAAAAUCGGGAUUUUAACAACAAUGGCAGAGGCUUUUAUUCCACGAUUUUAAAAAGAUAGCAAUAUUUCUCCAAGGAUGUAAACCCUAUAAAACUCAAUAAAUUCCCACAAGGGCUACUAACUAACACUGGUGCCAAAUUAGGGGUAUAAUCUAUCCUUCACUAAAAAUCAAAAGAUUGAUGGCUACUAAGGAAUCCAAUAGAUAUUCUUACUAGCUAAAACCUUUGAUACAAUAAGGUCACAACAGGAAGCAGGCAUUGCAGUGUUGUAAAUAAAGAUCAAUCUUUAGAACUAUAAGAUAAGGAUUGCAUUAUAGUUAUAAUGGUUUGAGUGCAUAUGACAGUUUAAGCUAUAGAUCUCUGCCUGACAUUGCUUCUAUCGGCCAAGAAAACAAAGCUAGUGCCUAAUUGUUUGCAAAGGAUCUUUGGAUAUUUGCAAAAUGAUUGACAUGAUUCCAUUAUAAGAUAGUUCGUUUGUCUUGACUGAAUGGCAUACUAGAAUAAUAAAACAUCCAGAUAAAGUGGUGCAUGAGCUGCCAGACACUCUUUACAAUAAUAUAGAUCAGAAAUACAUGGAGCUUGUUGAACCAUGAAACAGGUGAAUGGCUUCUUGUGGAUGGCAAUUAGCAAGUUAUGACAGGAAUCCCUGUGCAUGAAUUUUUUGCAUACACAACCCACCCACAUUCUCAACAUGAACAUGAUAGAAUGAACUGGUUCACUUCUAGAACUAACACGUGAAGAUAAUUAUAUCCGCUAGAACUUCUUCUAUGACGAUCAAAUUUCUAAAAAACACUUAAAUUCAAUUGACCCAACAGAAACUAAGUAGGAAAGGCACUAGAAAGCAAGAAUCAUUUAGGAGCAGUAUUAUACCAUAUUGACAGAAUUUGGUCAUUCAAUCUAAUUAAGAUCAGCCAAACUAAGUACAGAUUACUAGGUAAGUAUUAAAGGCAUACAUGUUAUUAAAAAUUUAAAAUACAAAGAAGCAUGUGAAGAAUACAACAGGGGAGAAGAGAAAAUUCAUUUUUACAGGAUUUGGAAUGGUCAGGAGUCCCAAUUGCCUUAGCAAACACAUUUUUCUAAUCCUCACUCCCAAAUUACCAUUAAUUUGGGAUACAGGUACACUGAGGAGGGCUAGUUCAAAUAGAAAAUAAUAUAUUCUAUCAGAAAAGGAAAAGGCAUGCCAAAAAAAUUGAAUCCGACAAUGAAGAAAAGAUUCACAACAUUUUCAAACUCAACAAUAGGCUUAUGGCCUUAGCUACUACAAAAAAAUGCUACACUAGCUUUGUUAGAUACAUAUCUCGUCCAACAAUGUUUUCCAGUGUUGUAUUAUACUCAUGAAUCAGAAUUUUGAAUACUGAUUUGGUUUACUCAAUAUGCUGUUGCUUAUAAAGUAUCUGUUUGAGCUGUGCAACUUUUGCUGCUAUAUUUGUGCUGGAAAAGAUAUAGAAAAUAUCUUUAACAACUAUCUAAUCUCUUUUGAAUUUUAAUUGCUUAGUUUGAAUAAUUCAAUUCAAUUUGAGUUCAAGUCAAAUUAGUUGCUAUUUUUUAGGAGAAAAUCAUGUUUUUUAUGUUGAUGUAUUGCUAUAAAUUAAGUCAAUUUAAUGAGAAUUAAUCAUCAGUUUUCAGUCAUCUAUUUCAACCUUUGUUCUCUAAUCUCCUUGUUAAUUCCUACAAAUUGGUAUCAGAGCCUUAUUGAUCUGUGUUUGAGAGUGAGCGAAUCUAGUGAGGAACCUUCUCUUUUUCAAAAAAAACCACACACCUAGCCUUCAAGCCAGAUAACAGCUAUGUCAGAAAACAAUUUCAUGUCAGCACCACCUAAUUUCACAAGUGAAAAUUAUCAGAUUUGGACAGGGAAGAUGGAGUCAUGCUUGCAAGCAAGUGAUUUAUGGGAUGUGAUAAUAACUAAAAUACCACCAUGACCUGAGGAUUCAACCAUUUCCCAAAUCACAAAAAUAGGACAGCAACAAGAAAGGGGCUAAGGCCAAGACCUGCAUUCAUUCAGUAGUUUCAGAUGAUAUUUUCACAAGGAUUAUGGCUUGUACAAUAGCAAAGCAAGCUUGGGAUACGUACGCUCAAGGAGACAUUUCAAGGAAAUGAAAGAACUAGGCGGAUGCAAAUAUUAAAUCUCAAAAGAGAUUUUGAGAUUCUAAAGAUAGAAGAGCAUGAAAGUGUAAAAGUACUCAGACAAGUUAAUGUCUAUAGUAAACAAAAUCAAAUUGAUGGGAGAAGAGCUAACUGACAAAAGGAUUGUAAAGAAGGUGCUGGUGAGUCUACCCGAAAGAUUCGAGACAAAAAUCUCAUCUCUUGAGGAUUUAAGAGACGUUAAUCAAAUGACUCUAACAGAGUUAGUUAGUGCAUUACAAGCUCAAGAACAAAGAAAAGCUAUUAGGAAAAAUGGGGAAACAGAAGGUGCAUUUCAAGCAAAGGAAAAAGGUCAGACUCAGUCAAGUGGCAAAGGCAAAAAACAGUUCUAGAAUAAGAAGAACAAAAAGGAGGACGAAAAUAAUGAUGAAGGUGGCCAAAAAGUGAAAUUUUCCCCUUGUCCACACUGUAAGAAAACAUCACACUUAUAGAAAUAUUGUUGGUUUAGAGCUAAUGUUAAAUGCAGGUCUUGUAAUCAGACGAGCCACAUGGAGAAAGUCUACAAAAAUAAACAACUAGGCACACAACAGGCAGAAGUUGUUGAUCAACAAUAAGAGGAGAAAUUGUUUGUGGCAACCUGUUUUGCAAAUAGCAGAACUAGUGAAGCUUGGCUUAUUGAUAGUGGUUGCACUCAUCAUAUGACUUAUAAUGAGACCAUAUUCAAAGAACUUGAUAGAUCAUAUGAUUCCAAAGUCAGAAUUGAGAAUAGAGACUAUAUUGAUGUCAAAGGCAAAGGGAAUAUGGUAAAAGAUAAAAGGAAAAGCUUUAUGUUAGAUUGUAUGCAAGCAAAUUCCUGUGUAUAUCCUAGUUCUCUUGAUCAAUAUCAGCUUUGGCAUAAAGGUUGGGACAUUUUCAUUAUUUUUCCCUCACCUUUAUGCAUAAGAAUCAGCUUAUACAAGAUUUACCUAGUGUUGAAAAAGAAACUGGAGUUUGUGAAGUCUGUCGACUUGGGAAGCAAUCCAAAUUGCCAUUUCCACAAAACAAGACUUGGAGAGCAAUGGAAAAACUUCAACUUGUUCAUACAGAUGUGUGGUCCAAUGAGAACUCAAUCCUUAAAUAGCAACAUGCAUGUAUUAUGUUGCAUUCAUUGAUGAUUUUAGCAAGAUGUGUUGGAUUUACUUUCUAAAACAAAAAUCUAAAGUUGCUCGUGUCUUUUGGAAGUUUAAAAAUUGUAUUGAGAAUCAAAGCAGCCAUAGAAUAAAGGUGAUUAGGUCAGAUAAUGGAAUUGAGUAUACUUUUGACAAAUUCAAGAAGUUAUGUGAAGAUGCAGGUAUUGAACAUCAAUUAACUGCAACUUACACUCCAGAACAAAUUAUGGAGUGUGUGAAAAGCAAAACAAAACAAUAAUGGAGAUGGCCAGGUGCUUGUUGAUUGAGGAGAAAAUACCUAAGCAAUUUUGGGUUGAGGUGCUUGUUGAUUGAGGAGAAAAUACCUAAGCAAUUUUGGGUUCAGGCUGUCAAUAUUGCAGUUUAUUUGCUCAAUAAACUACAAACAAAAACACUGAAGAACAAAACAAUAUUUGAAGUUUGGAUGGUUACAAACCUUUUGUACAAAAUCUGAAGGUGUUUGGUUGCUUCUGUUACACACAUGUUCCUGGUGUAAAAGGAGAUAAGUUGGAUUAGAAAGCUAAGAUUGGGAUACUAAUUGGUUAUGGCAACAUCAUCAAAGGCUUUAGAGCUUAUCAUUGUAACACCCCGCUCUCCUAGGGUGUUAGGUAACGUAAGAUUCUAGGGAUAUAUAUUUUUUUUCAAUGGAAACUCAACACAAAAACUAUUCCCCGAAUAUCUCGAUACACCUUAUCAGAAUAUCAACUUAAAAUCAUUAAUAAACUAAGACAAGUAAUUCACCUCAUGUAACGCCCCGUUUUUCCCAAGCGUGCGUUAACUCGAGAUUUCGGGAAUAUAUUUUUUUUUUUUCAACAUCAUACCCACAACAUAAGUCUCUUGAUAUACAUACCCUCAUCAUACUCGUUUCCCAACAAUCCCAACUAUACCUUCUCAGCAUUUAAAAAAAUAAUAGACUAAGACAGGUAUUAUCAAUCACAUCAGAGGAAGCAAGAUCGAACCUCGAUGAUAUAUAACCGACAAAUUUCUUUUACAAUUAAAUAACCAAAUCGAUAUUUCAUAUGAAAAUAUCAAAAUAUUACAUAACCUCUGAACAUCGUAAUUAUAGACAAAAACCUAUGAAAUCUAAACAUGGCAGCUACAUCUCAACGACAUUCUUCCCCUUGGCACCACUGCUUUCACUUAGAACAUUUGAAUAUUUCAGGGACAAAGUUCAAAUUAGAUGCUAAAUCAUCUAAGUGAGAGUUCAAAAUAUUUUCAUGAAUAUAUGCAAAAUCAUAUAUAAAAUCAACAAAUUCUGACAUGCACCAGCCUAAGAGAAUCCCACGAAGCACUUAGCCUUAACCGGGGAAAGUGCAAUCUCUCUAAAGGCGACACGACCACAUCGACCCAUUGGUAACACAAUCCUGCUUAAGAAGGACAACCUCGACAUAUGAACCCAGAAAUCACCCCAUUGUCAUUGUUAGGCAUUAUGCUCCUACUCAAAAGCAUUCCAAAACCCAAACGCAACCCUAGCCCCAUGAGUGUCACAUCAGCACUAUCCCCGGAAUCAACGACACCUUAGCCUUAAUGCUAUUGCUCAAAGGAACCUGAGGUGGUGUCCACUCUCAGCCCCGCCACUUGAGUACCGUAGGGUGAAAUCCGUCUUAACCCCGUCCCAAGUGGGUCACAUAGCAUUAACCCUUGGCACGCAUCCCGAGUGCUGACACUCGAGAGCUACGUCACAGGUUAACAACCCACAUCCCACGUGAUCAACACACAACAUGCCAAUGCUAAAAAUCAUAACACGCAUAACUUAAAAUCAACAUUUCGAUGUAUGCAAUUUAUUGUACAAAAUUCAAUGCAUGUGUAAAUAACCGUUUGGACAAACCAUCACAAUAAACCAAGCCAUAGGGAUGAAUACUCACAGUAAACCAUUCACAUGCUACUAUAAGUCUUUUCGGGUAGAACCACUCACCUUGGCUAAAUUCAAAUUCUUCUUGAAAAGCGUGAUAUGCCUUGAUUUGCGUGCCCACCUCGAACUUCGCACAAGUCACUUCGCCUCAACCCUCAAGGCACCCUAAUCAUCAUAUUUAUCCAACAAUUAUAAUUUUUCCUUAAUUUUUUCACAUUUUCCUAUUUUUUCUCCCAUUUUUCUUCUCUAAUAAUCCAAAAUAAAUAUCUACACAACUAUUUUCUCAAAUAUUUUUACAUAAUAAUUCAUAAAAUAAUUAAAUAAAAUUUCUAGAAGUUGAAUUACCAAAAAGCCCCUUGUCACGCGCCUUCACGCACUUGGCACGUGGGUGCAAGCAAAGGCUGGCGCGUGCAGCUCACACGCCACCGUCUUCAACCUCGAGCCAGUCGUCGGCGGUUACUCCGAUGACCCUGAAACCGAUACCUCCCGAAAGCCCACAAAGAAUCGAUCUCAACCCCACCACUUUCAGGCCGAAAGGCCACUGGAAAGCCCACCAGAAGUCGAGUUGCAGGUCGUGGUAGGCGGACUGCCUCGACUUUCCGACCACUCUUGAAACGCCUUCAAAUCACCUCCAAAACUCACGAAACUUACCAGAAUUGCUCAUCUUGCCUCAAUGAUCAAAAGCCCCUUAUUGGUUUCCCUUGAUUUGCCCUCAAAACCUAGCAAUUUGAUGCUCCAAAUUCGGCCAAAAACCCUUGGUAUUUAUAGGCCAAAACCGACCCCCACGUGGCCGAUUUCCGGCCAAAUCUUCUCCUACACGCCACCAGGACCGUCCUUGGCCAUGCCCUGACUAAACUAGGCUGCCAAAUCGCCGGAUUUUCCGGCCACAAAUCGCGGCCAGAUCUCCCAUUUUUGAGCAGAUUUUCGAAAAUUGCAGUUUGGCCCCCUUAAAUUUUUUUUUUUUUGCAUUUUGGCCCUUAUCCUCAAACCCCUGAUCUUUCUAGCACCAUCACUAAGACCCUUAAGAUUAGUACUUCUCAUUUCUCCCUUGAAACUUUUGAAAAAUUAUCGUUUUGACCUCCCUCGAGCAAUUUUAGAAAAUUACACUUAGGCCUGAUUGAUCGUUUUGACCUCAAAUCCACUCGAUUCAACCCGAAAUCACUUAAGGGUUGUUCUAUUCAUCAAAUAUUAGUCCUAGGCAUGCUCUGUUGAUUUUUUGGAUGUUGUCUACAACAAUUCAGUAUUACGACCUAUUCGGCAGCUGUAUUUUUACUGUACCAAAAACUAUUCCCAAUCCAAUUUCCUUUAUCACCAAAAAGCAUAAUUUAUUUUACUCGAUGAUACUAUAUCGCUUUUCUUAAUUAUCUAGGGUCCGAAGUACUCCCUCUGACUAAUUCGAUCUUCCAAAGUUGUGUUAAUGUACCCUAUAGUCACAUUUUUUCGCAAAUUCCAUGUAUGCCCUUCAUUAAAUACCGUUUAUAUCCUCAAACCAUUCCCGGGUAUUACACCUCAAAUGCGGAAGUUAGAUCGAAACCUCAAUAAAACAUAACUGAAAUCAUUUUAUUCAUAACAUAAAGCCGAACCACUGUUUUACAUGACAUCAUAAAAAAAAUAACAUAAUUGAAAAUGACAUACUAUAAACUAUCCAUUACUCACUGUCGCUUCUCAGCAAUCCCUUUUCCUUUCGCACUGCUGCCUUCACCUAGAACGUUUAAAUAUUUCAGGGACAUAGUCCAUAUUAGAUGAUAAAUCAUCUAAGUGAGAGUUCAGAAACACGUUUUCAUGAAUGAAUGCAAGACAUAAAAUAAACCAACACAACCCGGCAAGCCCUAGUCCAAGAGAAUUCCACACAGCGCUUAACCCUACCACGGGGAAAGAGCAAUCUCUAAAGGCCACGCCACCACACCGACACACUAACACAACGCGGUCCUAGCUUAAGAAGGGCAAAAUCAACACAUCUCCCCAACAUCUCGGGAACAAUCGUUACCACUCCCAACCUAGAAGGGUCACAUCAACGUAAGAACCCGGCUCAUCACAAUUACGUCAGGGAUCGAUUACGUUCCCACUCAGAAGCAUCUAGGAACUACAACCCAAUCCCAACUCAAAUCUCAUAUAUGGACCACCUAGUCGUCCUAGUGUAACUACCCUGGCCAUACGGCCUGGCACAGAAACCUAGGCAGCUAUCUCGGCAUGCAUACCAGCACAGGAUACCCCUAUAUAUUAUUCCGGCAACACCCUUGGAGAAUUAUGACUACACUAUCCAAACAACAUUCCAGGCUGACAUUCCAUAUGUAUAACCAAAAACGCAUGACAAUGCCACAUAUCACCACUUAAUGCAUCAUAUAAACAAUAUUUUAUAAAGUACAAUGCACAAGUACAAAACACUUAGGGACGAAUCUCCUUCAUAAAAUCAACCAUCACCGGUUAUCGUUUGCAUGUAAUAAAAUCGUUUUGCAUGAAAACACAACACACUUAAGUAACAUAAAUACCAGGUUUUAGGGUAGAAAAAUCCAUAAUAAAUCAAGUUUUGGGGCGAACACUCACAAGUCUACCAAAUUUUGGGAUAGAACCACUCACCUCAAAUGUAUUCAGAAUGCCUUGAUCUUCGUGCACGACCUCGAUUUGCUCGUCACACCUCAAACACCCGUACUUAUACUCAACCUCAAACCACGGCAUUUCCUAAACACCAUAUUUAAUUAAGGGAGCAUCAAAAUCUAUUUUUCUUAAUUUUUCAUAAUUUCCUUUAUUUUUCUCCUGGUUUUCACCUUGAUAAUUCCAAAAUAAUUAUCUUCUCAAACAUUUUUUCAAAUUUUUCAACAUGAUAAUUCCUAAAAUAAAUUUAGAAAAUACUGAAAUAAAAUACCAAAAUUACCCCUAUCUCACGUGCCCACACGGGCUCAGUGUGUGAAAGGUGGCGCGUGUAGUCACGCGCCAAUCUUUUUCCUCAAAUCCGGCCGCCGAUAACUACUCCAAUGGCUGAACUAAGAGUACCCCCAUGAAGCACUCACUUAAUCGAUCCCAAGAACACCACUUACAGACCGAAAACUCACUGAAAAAGCCCCCAAUCGGGCAGUUGCAAGUCGACCCUAGGCAGUCCGCCUCGCAUAUCCGGCGAUGCUCGAAACAGCCUUCAAACGCACAUAAAACACUCCCAAAUGCUCCAGAUUUGAUCCUUGAUCCCUCGAGACCAAAAGCCCUCUAUCCCUUACCUUCGAUUCACUCCCAAACACAAGUAAUUUUUGUGUAAAGUUUUGGCCAAACACUCACUAUUUAUAAGCGAUUUUCGGCCACAUCUCGGCCAAUCAUCUGCCAAGCCUUGGCCCCCAAGCCUCCCCACGCUGUAUGUAAUACCCGGGAAUAAUUUGAGAAUAAAAAUGAUAUUUGAUAAAGGGCAUAACUGGAAUUUUGAAAAAAAUAAGACGAUAGGGUACACUAACACAGCUUUGGACGAUCGAAUUAGUCAGAGAGAGUACCCCGGACCCUAGAUAUCCAAGAAAAAUGGUAUAGUAUCGACAAGUGAUUUAAAUUAUGAUUUUUAGUGAUAAAAGAAAUGAAAUCGAGAAUAGUUUUCGGUACAGCAAAAAUACAGCUGUCAAUGAGGUCGUAUUUCCGAAUUGUUAUAGACGAUGUCCGAAAAAUCAACGGAGUGUGUCUAGGACUAAUAUUUGAUGUAUAGAACAACCCUUAAGUGGUUUCAGGUUGAAUCGAGUGGAUUUGAGGUCAAACCCAUCAAUUGGGCCUAAGUGUAAUUUUCUGAAUUUGCCCGAGGGAGGUCAAAACGGUAAUUUUUUGGAAGCUUCAAUGGAUAAAUGAGAAGUACCAAUCUUGAGGGUUUUAGUGAUGGUGCUAGAAAGAUCAGGGGCUUGAGGAUAAGGGCCAAAAUGUAAAAGAAAGUUUCUAAGGGGCUAAAGUGCAAUUUUCAAAAAUUUGCUCAGAAAUGGCAGAUCUAGCCGCGAUUUGUGGCCGAAGAAUCCGAAGAUUGUAGCUGUUCUUCGACAGGGCAUGGCCAAGGUCGCGUAGGGGUGAAGCAAUGGCCUUUGAUUGGUCAGAAAAACGGACGAAUUUGGUUAUAAAUAGCCGAGUUUUGGUGUGGGUUUGCAUCAAAGAUUUUACUUCAGAUUUCUCACUUUUGGGAACGAAUCAGAGGUCGGGGAUAAGGGGCUUUUGUUCCCCAGGUUGUGAGGAGCAAUUCUGAGAAUUUUGAGGGUUUUUGGAGUAGUGUAGGGAGUGUUUUUGCAUAUAUAUACAUUUGGUUGUAUAUAUAUAUAUAUAUACAUAUUGCAUGAGUAUUAAAUCGGGUUGUAGAGUGAUCGAUCGAAGGAUCUAUUAAGGGGAUUUUGGUGGCAAGGCUAUGGGUAGAAAAUCUGAAAAUUUUCAUGUCAAUCGGAAUUCGAAUCGAAAGCCAAUUUGAUUUGCCGAAGUUCGGUGGCGGGAUAGCUUCGGCGGACUGUUUUCAACCAAAUCAGAAGGCUUCCAGUGGUUUUUUCCGAGCAAGAUGGGUACCAUUGGGAUCGACUAAGGGAGAGGAACAGCCUGGUGUCGUCGCUUCAAUUUUCCGGUGUGCCGUCGCCGGAGAAGAUGACCGGAGGAUAUCGUUGAUGCUCAAAUUUGAACUAGAGAGCACCUGGCACGAGAAUCGAGGUCGAUUGGGCACGCAUUUCGAGGAAUCUUGAAUUUAGCCCAAUGUUGUUUCUCUUGGAGUUCAAAGAAGCAAGAGAUCAUUGCUC